GACGAACGCUGGCGGCGUGCUUAACACAUGCAAGUCACGGGGGCCCGCAAGGGCAACCGGCGAACGGGUGCGUAACACGUGAGCAAGCUUCCGAUUUGUGGGGGAUAGCCGGCCUAACGGCCGGGUAAUACCGCAUACGUUCACCGGACGGCAUCGUCUGGUGAGGAAACCUCCGGGGCAAAUCGAGGCGCUCGCGGCCUAUCAGCUAGUUGGCGGGGUAACGGCCCACCAAGGCGACGACGGGUAGCUGGUCUGAGAGGAUGGCCAGCCACAUUGGGACUGCGACACGGCCCAGACUCCUACGGGAGGCAGCAGUGGGGAAUAUUGCGCAAUGGACGAAAGUCUGACGCAGCGACGCCGCGUGUGGGAUGACGCCUUUCGGGGUGUAAACCACUGUUGCCCGGGACGAAACUCCUUUUUCGAGAGGAUUGACGGUACCCGGUGAGGAAGCACCGGCUAACUCUGUGCCAGCAGCCGCGGUAAUACAGAGGGUGCGAGCGUUGUCCGGAAUCACUGGAC
rnacentral:rRNA from 1 species